AAAGGGAAAUCAAAUCCAACUGCAUCUCCCACUGCAUUAGUGUGAGAUCGUGAAGAUCUGAGGACAGUGCAGCACAUCUCAGGGGAAGGUUAUGAUACAAAAUGCUGUGGUCUGUCAUGGAAGCUUUACCCUGGAUUAGAAUUCCUCAGCCAGAAGCAUGAAAAAACCUGAAAUUGCUUUUAACAAAGUCCUUAGAGUUGAUUUGGAAUGAGAAGAAUUGGGUUUGAGACUUUAUGCUGUAAUUUUACAGCUAGGUAACGUUGGAUAUAUCUUGAAAGUUACCAAGAAGGACUCAUCAAAUAUCACCUGAGUGAGACAGUCCUGAGAGCAUAACCCAUGAAUAUAAUUCAUCUGAGAUAGCACUUAACUCCAGAUAACUCAAUGAUCAACUCAGCAAGAGCAGCAAACAUCAAAAUUCUACGGCUUUGUAUAUGUACAACUGAAUCACUUUGCUGUACACUUGAAACUAACACAACACUGUUAAUCAACUGAACUCCAAUAUAAAAUAAAAAUUAAAAAAAAAUUAUACGGCUUAGGACAUAUCUCACAUCCUGGGAGCACUGUGUACAAGCUUUCAGUCACCAGAAAAUCAGCAAGAAGGGAAAUGAAGACUUGUGGUAUGUUUGAAUCAACUGAUGUCUUAUUUUAAGCACAGUUUUCUUUUUCCUUUUUAAAAAAAACCAGGUGAAUGUAUUAA